CUGAGUACUUACAUGUCUAGAAUUAAUAUCUGUCAUCUCACUUAAUCCUCUCAAAAACCUUGGGAGGUAGGUACCAUUGUUAUCCCUGCUUCCCCAUUUUAUAGAUGAUAAAGCCGACUUAGAGAGGCUAGUGGCUCACUCAAGUUUAUACAGCUAGUAAAUGAAGGAGCACGUUAUUGAACUCAAGUAUUCUUAUCUAGGACUGGUACUUUUAGCUAACUUGCUCUGCUGCUUUCUUAGAGCUGGGGAAAGUAAACAGCUAACAAAAUAUUUGAAGGACUAUCAUGUGGAAUAGAGAUCAGCCCUUUUUUAUACAGUUCUAGAAGGUAGUGCUAAUGUAAUAGGGGAGAACUUUUGUAUUCCAUUACAAGUUCAUCACUAAAAGGAUGUUGCCUAUAAACUUAAAUUAUACAAAAUGGCCCAUCUCUGGGAACCCUGCCUCCUAGGUAAUGAGCAUUAAGCUAGAAAACCUUUGUUUAGCUUUUAGGAAACAUCCUGACCAGGCCCACCUGUGAAUGACUGCGGGCAGGAAGAAAUUAACACAUCCCCUCUGGAGGCGGACUGGAACCAGGAAGUGUUUGACUUUACUCCCUCCCCUUUUAGUAUAAAAGAAGCCGAAGUUCUAACUCAGGCAAGAUGGUUCUUUGGGGUGUGAGGUAGCCAUCUUCUCAGUCCCCUGGCUUUCUGAAAAAAGCCGCUAUUCCUUUCCCCAACAAGUUGGUCUGUCGUGUGGUGAGCAGAAUGAGCUUGGACUCGGUCACACUGAGUCUAGGAAAUGUAAAAUUCCAGAAGGGAGAUUUAGGCUAGGCGUUAGCAAGGAGAGUGUGUUAGAGACUAUGGAAUGGGCUGCAUUGCCGAGUUUCUCUCUCCAGCCUCUUGCCAGGCUGGCCCCAGUUGGAAAAUUUUCAGGUAAGGCCUUAGCAUCUGCCGGGACCACUUGUACUGAGGAUCUUCCCUUCAGAAUUCUCUGAAGUAGCAGUGCCUACCCCAGCGCUUGGCAGUUGGAACAAGGGAUCGGCAUUCGGGAGCUGGCGAGCUCAGUACAGUAGGGUGAAGAAAUGAUUGCCAGAGAGACUAAGUGACUUAAGUCAUAUGAAGAAUUUGAGUGCCAGCCGGGGAGGACUUCCACUGGAACUCUGCUGGGAUUCUUUCUCGCAGUUUGAGGAACCACCCUAGAAGGGUAUGGAGAGACCCUCUCCUCCACUCAUACUCACGCGACAGAAGCCAGUCUCUGGACAGCUGGAAUUCCCUUUACUUUUAAAACAUACUAUGUACAGGGCAGCAGUGGUCACUGGAAUAGUGCUACUUACAUGACUAAACCACAAGUCGAGGUGCAGACAUGUGAAAAUUAAAAAAAAAAAAAAAUACACCAACAUUAAAAUAAAUACUGCAUAAUGACAGAGUCCAUAUCAUCUUGGCAUUAGUGGGUGCCAUGCCUGCUGGAGCUCUGAAGUCUGCCACUGUUCACGCUGUCACACUGGACUGGCUGCUCCCGUCCCCAGCCAGAGGAGGGCUGACGUUUUUGUCCUGGACCAAGUCUUUGGUCUCUUGCUUUUCACCUGAUGCUUCCUAGGACUUCAUGCCUUGACUUGUAACAUGGCUUAAUGGCUGGAUAGCUCCAUUUCUGUGGCAUCACAGGACUUUGGGGUCAGAGAAAUGAAGAAAAAGGAAUGAUAAAAAUAUAAAGGUGCCAUUGAAAAGGGCUUUUGUUGCAUGAAACUGAUUCUUUGAGAUUAAUCCAUGGCUUCAUUGGACCAAAACGAUAUUGAAUAUAUCGAUAGUUCCCUAGUGUGUAUAGCUUUAUAGCACUGGCCACUACUUUGAAGUUUCCCAAGCAUUUCAGCUGUGAGGAAUGGAAAAGGAUGUGAUAAGAAAAGAUGUUGGAUACAAAGUUUGACUCCAUGAAGACACUUUCUUAGUGUCUUGGAACCUGGUUUUACAACAAGGCCACGGGCCCGAAUGAUUUCCACCUCCAGCUGUCCCUUUUUGUCCAUCAUUCCUACCUGAAUGUCACCUAAUGGCGUGUGAGGAAGAAACAAACAAUGAGAGAAAUGUUUGUGCCAAA